AUUGAACGCUGGCGGCACGCCUUACACAUGCAAGUCGAACGGUAACAGGUCUUCGGAUGCUGACGAGUGGCGAACGGGUGAGUAAUACAUCGGAACGUGCCCAGACGUGGGGGAUAACGAGGCGAAAGCUUUGCUAAUACCGCAUACGAUCUAAGGAUGAAAGCAGGGGACCGCAAGGCCUUGUGCGUUUGGAGCGGCCGAUGGCAGAUUAGGUAGUUGGUGGGAUAAAAGCUUACCAAGCCGACGAUCUGUAGCUGGUCUGAGAGGACGACCAGCCACACUGGGACUGAGACACGGCCCAGACUCCUACGGGAGGCAGCAGUGGGGAAUUUUGGACAAUGGGCGAAAGCCUGAUCCAGCAAUGCCGCGUGCAGGAUGAAGGCCUUCGGGUUGUAAACUGCUUUUGUACGGAACGAAAAGGCUCUGGCUAAUACCUGGGGCACAUGACGGUACCGUAAGAAUAAGCACCGGCUAACUACGUG
rnacentral:rRNA from 1 species